CUCCUAUUAAGUAUUAACAACAUCGGGCGGGGGGCUUGCCAAUUCGAAAGCCCCAAACGAAGCCAAGUCCUCUACUUUGAAACGCAGCAUUUUCGCCCCAAACUCAUCAGAUCUCAGGGGGAAAAAGAUGAGCAGCCGUUCGAGUAGAACUAUAUACGUGGGGAACCUUCCGGGCGAUAUACGCGAGAGAGAGGUUGAAGAUUUGUUCAGUAAGUAUGGGCCUGUUGUUCAAAUCGAUCUGAAGAUCCCGCCAAGGCCUCCUGGCUAUGCCUUCGUCGAGUUUGAGGAUCCUCGGGAUGCUGAUGAUGCUAUUCAUGGCCGUGAUGGAUAUGACUUUGACGGCCAUUGUUUACGGGUGGAGCUAGCACAUGGUGGGAGGCGUUCAUCUAAUGAUGCUCGUAGUAGUGGCAGUCGUGGCGGAGGUCGUGAUGGUGGAGACCGUGGGCGUGGACCAUCUAGGAGAUCUGAGUUCCGUGUUCUUGUGUCGGGUUUGCCUUCAUCUGCUUCCUGGCAGGACCUCAAGGAUCACAUGCGUAAAGGAGGAGAAGUCUGUUUCUCUCAAGUCUACCGUGAUGGUAGAGGUACAACUGGAAUUGUAGAUUACACCAGCUACGAGGACAUGAAGUAUGCGAUUAAAAAGCUCGAUGACACUGAGUUUAGGAAUGCGUUUUCUCGUGGAUAUGUCCGGGUUCGAGAAUAUGAUUCAAGGAGGGAUUCGAGAAGCCCCAGCCGUGGAACAUCUUAUUCUAAGAGCCGCAGCCGUGGGCGGAGCCACAGUCGUAGCCGCAGCAGAAGCAGGAGCAGGAGCAGGAGCCCAAAGGCUAAAUCUUCGCGUAGAUCGCCUGCAAAAUCUACGUCAAGAUCCCCUCGUUCCCGCUCAAAGUCAAGGUCACCACCUCCGCGAGGAUACGAUCAACUUGAAAUUUGGAAAUAAUAUCUGGAUCAUGGAUUUCUUGGUUGGUUGUACACAACUGUUUCUGUCUCUCUGAGAUGGGUGACAGUGGAGAGUCAUUGGAUCGUAUUGUUAGUGUUCAUUACCUGCAAAUUCGUCAAGCGUUCUGGAUUCUCAUGGAACUGAUACUGUGCACAGGACACAUGGUUUGAUAGAACUAGACUUUCAUCCCUGCCCUCGGUUUUAACUAAAAAAGCUUGUGUGCCUAGAAAUCGUCUAAAUUUUGUUUUCUUUUUGCUUUCUUGUGUUAUCAUUUUACAUCUCUGACAUGGAAUGAGGUAUCAAGGCUAUUGAUGAAACAGAUGCUUAUACACGGAAAACAUAUUUAGGAUUUUAAAACUGGAUUUUGUUUCUCGGAAUUUUGCAGAUCUCGUUCAAGGUCAAGAUCUCCUCUGCCUUCUGUUCAGAAGGAAGCAAGUAAGAGCCCUAGCAAGCUGAGUCCAGCCAAGAGCCCUAUGCGUAGCAGGAGCAAGAGCAAGAGCAGAAGCAGGAGUCCAUCUGGGUAAACAAAAAGAGAAAAGUUAUCUCAUAAUCAGGUAAAAGAAGCUUGGUUUUGUAGGAAGAUUCUCCGAAGGAUCAUAUCUAUGCUAUGUUGUUUCGUUUGGUUAUAACUCAAGUACGAAAACAAGUUCUACUUCAUGGGUACUCUCGAGAUUUUAACUUUUGUUUUAAUAUUUUAUUAAUAUAUACAUUGCAACAA